ensembl:lncRNA
GUCCGCGCUUGGAAGUUUUCGUGAAGGAAGGCGGCACAGAGACCCGCUUCUCCAACGAGAAAAGUGCCUGCGCGGCCCCGGAGACGUGGCUGCGGGCGCGAAGACGGGGUAGUUUAACCCCAAGACUUUCUGUUUUGAAGCAGGACAGAUGUCACCAAUCUUGGAUCCGGGCACCAGGAGCAAGAGAGGGCGCGGGCUCAGGCCGGACGGUGCGUUCCCAGCCGGGUCCAGGCGGCCUCCGCCCGGCGCCCCCGCCACCAGCCGCCCCGGCCGGGGGCGAUCGGAACCGAGGGCUUAAGAAAGCAGAGGGAGGAUGCCCUCGGUUCAGGCGCUGUCGCCGCGGCGCGUCCUGGGGAGGAGCCGGGUUCGGAGCUGCAGGGGAGCGGCCGGCGAGGCCCGUCGGGGCUGGGUUUCCCGUUCUGUCGACCGCGGGGAGGGUGUGGGACGCCCCGCAGGCAGGACGGUCGCACUCGGAGGUGAGCUGAUCGGCCCGGAAUGAACCUCCCCUCCAUUCCCGCUCUGGAUUCCGUUUUGCAAAGAAGACAACCCACCCCACAGCCUCUGAGGUUGCCAAGGAGGAUGUGUCCACGUAUCACUUGGCAAUAGAAGCAAAUCUUGGCUGGAGAACGUUUUCCUCUCAGAGCAGCGAAGGGGAAAUAAAGCCGUGCCUGGUAAACUGAGGAGCGAGUGAGUGCACAGCCGUGCUGAAGGCCGAGCAGGCGGCGGUGUUUAAGUUCCCGCUGGCGCCGCUCGGUUGCUCCGGGCUGGGCUCGGCGCUGCUGGCUGCGGGGCCCGGACUGCCCGGUGCCGCGGGCGCGCCGCACCUGCCGCUGGAGCUGCAGCUGCGCGGGAAGCUGGAGGCGCCGGGCACUGGGGAGCCGGGCACCAAGGCCAAGAAGGGGCGUCGGAGCCGCACGGUGUUCACCGAGCUGCAGCUGAUGGGCCUAGAGAAGCGCUUCGAGAAGCAGAAGUACCUCUCCACACCCGACAGAAUAGAUCUCGCGGAGUCCCUGGGCCUGAGCCAGUUACAGGUGAAGACGUGGUACCAGAACCGGCGGAUGAAGUGGAAGAAAAUAGUGCUGCAGGGUGGCGGCCUGGAGUCUCCCACCAAGCCCAAGGGGCGGCCCAAGAAGAACUCCAUCCCCACAAGCGAGCAGCUCACGGAGCAGGAGCGCGCCAAGGAGGCGGAGAAGUCGGCGGAGGCGCCAGGCGAGGCCAGCGACAGGAGCCGCGAGGACUGAGCGCGGCAAGGGGUGCGGCCCGGGACCCUCGCGCCGCCGGUGGCCCCCUCAGCCCGCGGGAAGCCGCGAGCCGGCCCUUCUGCACCCACGCCGUUUGCUUUCUAAACGUUUUAUUAUCUUGAAUGCGGACAGUUAGGGGCCAAACAAGGAAGGACACAGACCCUGAAGCCAAACCCCGGCCCCGGUGCGCUCCGGGCCCUGGCCUGGAGACUGGCGUCUGGCGCUGCGGAGGGUCGCCUCUAGUCGGAGCUCCGCGGCGCCGGGCGCCCCACGCGCAUUCACGCCCCGCUCCUCUCCCGCACCCCCACCCGCCUCGGCCGGUUCCGGACGCCGCCGGGCGCACUCCCGCUUCCGCGCGUCAGGGACCCCGCUGCUGGAGCAGGCCACCACGGCCGGCCAGAGACGGCGCCCGGACAGCCCGGCGCUCGGCCCUGCAGCUGGGUUCCCGACGUCGCUGGGGCCCCUACCCCUCUCUUGCGAAGACGGUGAUCUUUUUUCCAAUAAAAUAUUUUAUGACACCGCGGGG